GUGAAUCAUCGAAUUUUUGAACGCAAAUUGCGCUUCCUAGCAUCCCGGGAAGUAUGCCUGUUUGAGGGUCAGUAUUAACAAAAAAAUCGGCUUGGUUGCAAAUUGUGACGUUUCCGGUGUUUGGGCUAUCUUAACUUUUUUGGUUAAGGGGCUUAAAAUUGACCUUUUUUGCGCAUUUUUAGACGUACGUAAAUUUUUUUUUUUAUUAGUCUCUUCUCAUUGCCAAACUCUGAUA
rnacentral:misc_RNA from 1 species